rnacentral:rRNA from 1 species
UACGAAGGGGGCGAGCGUUGUUCGGAUUUACUGGGCGUAAAGGGCGCGCAGGCGGCUAUCCAAGUCAGGCGUGAAAGCCCCGGGCUUAACCUGGGAACUGCGUUUGAUACGGAUGGGCUAGAGUUCGGGAGAGGAGAGUGGAAUUCCCAGUGUAGAGGUGAAAUUCGUAGAUAUUGGGAAGAACACCGGUGGCGAAGGCGGCUCUCUGGACCGAUACUGACGCUGAGGCGCGAAAGCGUGGGGAGCAAACAGG